CAGUAGCCACGGGAAUACAGAGGUCUCAAGCGUUGUUCGGAUUCAUUGGGCGUAAAGGGUGCGUAGGUGGCGGUGUAAGUCUAACGUGAAAUCUCGGGGCUCAACCUCGAAAUUGCGUCGGAUACUGCAUUGCUAGAGGAUUGUAGAGGAGAGUGGAAUUCAUGGUGUAGCAGUGAAAUGCGUAGAUAUCAUGAGGAAGACCAGUUGCGAAGGCGACUCUCUGGGCAAUUCCUGACACUGAGGCACGAAGGCUAGGGGAGCAAACGGGAUUAGAUACCCCAGUAGUCCCUGUCUCUUAUAC
rnacentral:rRNA from 1 species